rnacentral:lncRNA from 1 species
AAAAAUUGCGGCAGUACACACCGGAGGGCAAGUUUGAUCCAUUGGUCGAUGCACUUAAGAAAUUUCAUAAUUUUAUCAAUCUGACGGGUGUGCUUGGAAAUAGAGCCACAAAAAGCAUGCAGUGUGUCAUCAAAGUCCUUGAAGACAGCUGAUCAUCCAAGGCCAGGCACUUUGACCCCUUUUCAAGCUUGCCUACCUUGCCUUUGGAACCUAUUCUAUCAAGGCAGUCAAGUUGGAUUCCAUGACAACUUCCACUCACUGGCAUGUGUGCGUGCUAAUUGUAAAGGCCAUUUCCUUGACCCCCCCUUUCUUUUUUUCUUAAUUCUGUAUAUAUGUGACAUGUUUCUCCAUCAUCUUUUUCCCUUAACUUUUUCUGUUUUCAUUGGAAAGGUUAUUCAUUGACAUGCUUUAUUACAUAAGGUUGAGGGAAGACUGGCUUUAUUGACAACACAGUUCAAGGAAUUUUGAGCAGGCCAAGUUUUUUUUUUUUUAGUUGCGAAGAAUGUUCAACAACCUGUUCUACUUUGGAGAACACUUAAUAAUUGACAAGACUUCAUGUAACCACAAGUGCAUACAUCAAACAGCAAUGUACUGUGUGUUUUAUUGUUCUUUUAGUGACUGUUGUAUUUUAGUCACUAUUGUCACCAGGUGAUAUAGCUUAUUUAAGGAUUUUUGAAACAUUGUUUCAGCUUCUUAUUACUUUUCAACAUGUCUUUCACUCCUCCUGGAGACCUUUUUCUUGUUCUUUAUUGAGGUCUCUGUCAUCUCUACAGUGCAAUUCAUUUAUAAGGAUAUUCACAAAACCCCGACAUCUGGUCAUUGUAGCUCGUUAUUAUAUUUUCACUGGCCUUAAAUCCGCUAUCCAGUAAUGUUAAACAGGGCCCGAAGAGUUGGCACAUAAAGGCAGGGUGCUGCAUCAUAAGGUUGUGUGUGUCAGCUCUGCCUCAUCUGCACAGAUGUGCAUCUGCACAAGUGAGGCCACACAGUUUGGUUUGCCAACACAUCAGGUCCUAAUCAGGUGUAUAAGUACGGUCCACUGUUUAAGGGAACACUCCAGUGUGCAGCUCCCAUUUUGCGUGCACUCCAGCUGCAAGUGCUAGCUGAAGCAAUGUCAAUGUAUUGAACAGGGUUUGUAGAAAGGUACCAAUGCCACCAACCACUAGUCGCCUCACCGGCUGCAAAGCUGGACAAUUCCACACAUGCCAGGGGGUAAAUUUAGCAUGUGCUGUACAUAUGCGUUCCCUUUAACAGUGGACUGCAAUGUACAUUGUAGUAGUUGACCAUGCGUCCACACUAGGCUAGAACACCCUAUAUUAAAGCCCACCUACAGUUGCAUUGCAAAUUGUUGCGUUGUAAUCAGGAUGUCGAACAGGAAGAAAAUAUUGGGUUGGUUCAGGUUUGGGUUCAAGCUGCUUCAAUUUCGUUCUGAUUUGGGAAAAUUAAAAUCUAUACCACUUCAUGGACUAGUGUAAUGCGGUGCACGCAGGCUACCAUUGAAUCGCCUCUGUGUGCAAGUUUUACCUGGAAGAAUUGGAGGGGAUUUUACUGGCAUGGUGGGGGACAGGGCUUGAUUUUUUACAUUUUUCCAAGCAUGAAAAUUAAAUUUUACAUAGCUGCAGCAGACAUGAACAUAAAAAAUUGAAUAGUUCUGAAUAAAUUAAUGUGCGAUUUUGUUUCUUGCAUUAAUAAAAAAAUUGCAAGUUUGCAAAUACACACUGCAGGCAAUAAUCAAGCAACCUUGUGGUGGUGACUAACUACAUAGACCAGAUGCAGAAUGAAAUAAACUGAUAACUCAUUUCAACCAUUAUUUAUACUGAUGGAUGACAACAAGAGUGGUGCACCUCGUUUCAUAUGCAUUGCAGCCUCUAUCUGGCACAGCUGAGUGUGAGACUGCAAGGUACCUUACUUUUUGACACAGCAUCUGUCCUGACUCAUGUAUACAAACCGCAUUACAAGUCAUAGCAGGCUGCUAAUGACGCGGGCAGAGUACUGAAGGAAAGCUGUUUUGAUUAGCCUAAUGCAUUUGUAUCCACGCCACCAAAUAUGCUUGAACUACUGGAAACCGUUAUUAUUAUUUAUUUGGGUUCAGGCCCAUUUCAUAAAUAUUGGUUGUGGUUCAGGUUAGUUAUGGUCAAAAUUUCAGUUUGAGUACAGUUUUUAUGUAAGAUUCAGUUCGACACCCUGAUUAUAAUGUGUUUUUUAAUAACACCCUUGAUCAGACGGCCCUGGAGUUGUGCCAAAGCGAGUAUUAUGCGCAAUGCCCCACUGUGGAACAUAACAAAGGUGGGUUGUGGUGAACAACUGCAUUUUUGCAUAUUUGCAUAUUUUGCGCCCAGUGCACAUGAUGCAGGCAAAAUAAAUUAGGCUAUGAAGGUAGUAAUGAAGGCUCUGACAGCGCCGCUACAUCACGGUAAUUGCAGGGCCACAAUGUAAGUGGUUCUUGGAAUUGCUCCUUGUGUCAUAAAAAGCUUGUAAACAGCAGCAUUGCUCAUACCCCAUAUGUUGGAGUUUCCAGCUACUACCUCUACAAGUACACCAACUUUUGGUUACCAUUUGCAUACCUGCCAACUCUGGCGAAUUUUCUGUAAAGUUUACAAAUUUGGGCUCCUACGAUUUUAAAACUGUUGCAUCAAGUUUUA